CAGGAUUGGGAUCAGAGUUUCACAUGCUAACCAGUCAUUUUUGCUUUUCUUGUAUGCUGUUAACUCACCUUCUUUUCAUCCAGUUGUUGUCACUUUGGAAAGAUACAUUAUCUGGGACCUUAGGGACUUACUUAUUGUCUGUCUCCUCUGCUAGACUGUUGGAUCCUUGAAGGCAGAGACCAUGCCUGCCUUGUUUACUUGAUUCACCGCUCAGCUCAUAGAAAACACUCAAUUGUUGUCUGUGGAAGGAAGGAAGAGACCUGGCAUUUGGGAAAUUUGGAACUUCAGAAGAGCUGCUUGGGACUCUCCUGUCCUCACCCAAACCAGGACAAUGCAGUUCUCAUUACCCGUGCUUCUGUGUCUCACCUGAUGCUCUCCAUGACACCAGGAAAAAGGAAGGACAGCAGUAUGUUUCUGGGUUUAUAAAUGAGGAAAUAGAGGCUUAGGGAGGAUGGCUUGGUCACUUUCUCAUUGUGGGGGCAACCCCCCACCAAAAA
rnacentral:lncRNA from 1 species